rnacentral:rRNA from 1 species
UACGUAGGGGCCUAGCGUUGUCCGGAUUUAUUGGGCGUAAAGAGCUCGUAGGCGGUUCGGUAAGUCAGGUGUGAAAUCUCCACGCUCAACGUGGAGGGGCCACCUGAUACUGCCGUGACUCGAGUCCGGUAGGGGAGUGUGGAAUUCCCGGUGUAGCGGUGAAAUGCGCAGAUAUCAGGAGGAACACCGGUGGCGAAGGCGGGUCUCUGGGCCACUACUGACGCUGAGAAGCGAAAGCAUGGGGAGCGAACAGG